GACGAACCGUGCGAACGUUGUUCGGAUUCACUGGGCUUAAAGGGCGCGUAGGCGGAAGGCCUCGUCCGUGGUGAAAUCUUUCGGCUCAACCGGAAAAGUGCCGCGGAGACGGAUCUUCUCGAGGGAGGUAGGGGCAUGUGGAACUUCCGGUGGAGCGGUGAAAUGCGUAGAUAUCGGAAGGAACGCCGGUGGCGAAAGCGACGUGCUGGACCUCUUCUGACGCUGAGGCGCGAAAGCCAGGGGAGCAAACGGG
rnacentral:rRNA from 1 species